ensembl:lncRNA
AAGAUGCGAUCCCGGCCCGCGUUUGUCAUUUAUGUCCGCUAGUAAUGCUAUUAUAGACGAUUUUCCGAACACACCUUACCCCGCCUUAUUAGCUCAUCCGCCGUCUGAUUGGUCGCGUCCUCAGACACCCGGAUGAUCACGGGCGCGACUCUAUAGAACGCCAUUUUGUAUCUGAGGUCGCGGUUUCAGUGCAGCACUGGAAAAGACCGUAGAACUGCGGGAAACUGUGCCUUCAGCGUUUUUUCUCGUAGCAGUCCUAUUUAUGAUGUAAUUUUACAUUGUAAGUGAAGUAAACAUGGGUUAUUUCGUGCGUUGAUACACAUUAAAUUAUGAGAUAAUUAUUUUUCGACUUUUUGCUAUUUUAUGAAAGUUUAUGUAGUUUUGCCGAACGACACAUAAAGUGUAUAAUAAUUAUAUAUAUAUAUAUAUAUAACUUUUUGGGAACAUAAUAGUGGAUAUAUUUUUAAUUGUCAUCACAUUUAUUUUCUGUACCGUGAAUAAAUCUUUUAAAAUUUGCUGUGUUUUGUUUUUGCUGCUGCAACACUAUAAAUUAUAUUUUAUAUACAUUCAGUUGGUUUAGCUUCACUCUUCUUGAAAGUUUGUUGCUGUUGGCGUUUGGGUUUUAACUCAGAAACAACACUUUAAAGCAUAAACUUAGAGCGUUAGAGUGGUCCGGUGUGUUUUGUUCAGGCGCUCGCCGCGGCGCUUUGUUUUUGGGUCCUUCGUCGCAGCUACGCGCCAGUCGCGCUGCAGUCGCUCUUCGGGAGCGUUUUAAUGUUUUAAUUUUUUGCUGAUUUUCCGUUCAUACUUUAGCUUCUCUUCUAUCCAGUGAUCGGGUUUGUGUUGGUGUCGCAGCAGAGAUGAAUCUGGAGCUGCUCGAGUCGUUCGGGCAGAAUUAUCCAGAGGUACAGCAACAGCAUAAACACUUUAUUUUAUAUAUAUAUAUAUAUAUAUAUGUAUAUGUAUGUAUAUGUAUAUAUAUGUAUAUAUACAGUAUAACUAAAUCAAUUUAGAAUUUACCCAAUUCUUCAAAAUUGAUUUUUUUUUUUUUUAAAAAUUCUUUUAGGAUUUUUAAAAUACAUUUAACGGGAUAGUUUACCCAAAAUAAAAAUUCUGUCAUCAUUUACUUACCCUCA